UGAUGAUGCCGGGUAUCUCGUUCUCCUCGUAGCCCAGCCCGAACGACGCCAGCAGCAUCAUCGGGCACGCCACGCACGGUCCGAAGAACACGCUGUUCUGUAAACACCAGUAAAGUGUACAAGAAAAUAUAUCGGAAAGACAUCAUAUAAUAAAGCGUUAUAAUUGAAAUUAAUAAUAGUGCUCUCUCCUGCAGAUGUACAAGUAUAGUGAUGUAAAAUUAUAUCUACCGUAUAAUAGUAAUAAUAAUAGUAAUAGUUAGAUAAUGAGUGAUGGUAUAAUGAUGACGAUCAUAAUGGACACGUUCAAACUUCUAAUAGGGCUGGAUUACAGGUGGCAUACGAAAACCGCAUUUCAUAAGCAAAGAAAAUCUACUCUGCGUGUGCGUCAUAGUGUUGUGUUUUCAAACACGAAUACAAAGAGGAAUCCUGUACGGCUGUAGUACUUCAACGACACUUGAAGUUUGUCGUAGGUAAGAUGUACUCCACAUUCCAGUUGUAAAACAGUUGCAAAACGAGAUUUACGAUUGUAUAAUAAAACUCGCAAAAGAAUGUGACAUACUAUAUAAAAUUGUAAGCUACAUAUAAUGUGAUCCUAGGAGGUGGAAAAAACUUCCUUAUUUUAUUAUAUCUAUGCCU